AUUGAACGCUGGCGGCAGGCCUAACACAUGCAAGUCGAACGAGUGGCGGACGGGUGAGUAAUGUCUGGGAAUCUGCCUGAUGGAGGGGGAUAACGACUGGAAACGGUAGCUAAUACCGCAUACCACAGGAUGUGCCCACAUGGGCUUAGCUUGUUGGUGGGGUAACGGCCCACCAAGGCGACGAUCCCUAGCUGGUCUGAGAGGAUGACCAGCCACACCGCAACUGAGACACGGCCCGGACUCCUACGGGAGGCAGCAGUGGGGAAUAUUGCACAAUGGGGGCAACCCUGAUGCAGCCAUGCCGCGUGUAUGAAGAAGGCCUUCGGGUUGUAAAGUACUUUCGGCGAGGAGGCGUUACCCGCAGAAGAAGCACCGGCUAACUCCGUGCCAGCAGCCGCGGUAAUAC
rnacentral:rRNA from 1 species